rnacentral:rRNA from 1 species
UGGGGAAUUUUGGACAAUGGGCGAAAGCCUGAUCCAGCAAUGCCGCGUGUGUGAAGAAGGCCUUCGGGUUGUAAAGCACUUUUGUCCGGAAAGAAAUCCUUGGCUCUAAUACAGUCGGGGGAUGACGGUACCGGAAGAAUAAGCACCGGCUAACUACGUGCCAGCAGCCGCGGUAAUACGUAGGGUGCAAGCGUUAAUCGGAAUUACUGGGCGUAAGCGUGCGCAGGCGGUUUGCUAAGACCGAUGUGAAAUCCCCGGGCUCAACCUGGGAACUGCAUUGGUGACUGGCAGGCUAGAGUAUGGCAGAGGGGGGUAGAAUUCCACGUGUAGCAGUGAAAUGCGUAGAGAUGUGGAGGAAUACCGAUGGCGAAGGCAGCCCCCUGGGCCAAUACUGACGCUCAUGCACGAAAGCGUGGGGAGCAAACAGGAUUAGAUACCCUGGUAGUCCACGCCCUAAACGAUGUCAACUAGUUGUUGGGGAUUCAUUCCUUAGUAACGUAGCUAACGCGUGAAGUUGACCGCCUGGGGAGUACGGUCGCAAGAUU